UACGUAGGGGGCGAGCGUUGUCCGGAUUCAUUGGGCGUAAAGAGCUCGUAGGCGGCUUGGUAAGUCGGGUGUGAAACCUCCAGGCUCAACCUGGAGACGCCACUCGAUACUGCCAUGGCUAGAGUCCGGUAGGGGCCCACGGAAUUCCUGGUGUAGCGGUGAAAUGGGCAGAUAUCAGGAGGAACACCGGUGGCGAAGGCGGUGGGCUGGGCCGGAACUGACGCUGAGGAGCGAAAGCGUGGGGAGCGAACAGG
rnacentral:rRNA from 1 species